rnacentral:lncRNA from 1 species
AAUUUUUUUUUAUGAAUACACAUAGAGAGAAAUCUACCUAUUGUGGACACACGUACAAAUCAAUAAAUAAUGCAUGUCGUGGAAUAUCGGCUACAGAAGGAAUAAAUAGAGAAUUAUGUAUUAUCCACAGAUGGCAGUUAUACAGUGACUACGAAAGGAUUUGAUUUGAAAUAUAAAAGCUGAUAGGAAAACGGUUCAUUGGAAAAUAUGGACACGCGCAAAUAUUUUCUCGUGCCCGCAGUAUAUUAAAACAGAAAGUCAAAUGAAAUAUUUCUUAUCAAUGGCGAAGGAUAUUUUUCUCUUCUUCUUGACCCAGCAAUUGGAUUUCAUCAAUAUUAUAUAACGUUGAUUAAAAUUUCCUUUUCUCUCGAGCAACCAUGUAUAUUCCAAGCGUGAUGAAGGGAUUAGAUCAUCGUAUCGUAAAUUAUGCUUACUUCCAACCCCAAAGGCAGACUUUCUAUGUGCUUGUCUCUUUGCUUCGAGGGCCAGCGAACUCUUCACUCUAUAUGACAGAAACAGCCUAGAAUCCAGGGGGAAAUUUGAAAGUCAAUCAAGGAAGGAACUGCAAGAUGGACAGAGCAAGGUCUCGUAGAAAUGUAUGAGAUUCGUUUCUCGCAAAUUACGAGAUACGGAAACGUUUAAAGUCAUCUACAGGCGGAAAUCUGUUCAAGACAGUCGCGGUAAUGUUUCGACGUUAUAUGUCAUUCGUUAAGCCAGCUAUUAUUU